AACGCAGGAUCAUACUUCUCCUGAGAGAGCUGUGCUGUGAGGCUAACCCCUGAAGAUGCUGAUGCUUCUGCUGCUUCUGGGGCCCACAGGCUCUGGGCUUGGUGCUCUCGUCUCUCAACAUCCAAGCAGGGCUCUUUGUAAGAAUGGAACCUCCAUGAAGAUCGAGUGCCAUGCAACGGGCUUUCAGGCCCAAACUGUGUUUUGGUAUCGUCAGUUGCCAAAACAGGGCCUCACACUGAUUGUAACCUCUAAUUGGGGCUCCACGCCCACAUACGAACAAGAUUUUGGGGAGAAAAAAUUUCUCAUCAACCAUUCCAGCCUAACUUUUUCAACUCUGACCGUGGAGAGUGCACGUCCUGCAGACAGCAGCCUCUACUUCUGUGGUGCUAGUGACACAGCGCUGGGCAGAGAUCAGAGACCCAAACAAGAACCUUUGCAACAGCCCCCUCUGCCCCACCCCACCACAUCCGUGCAGCCCUGUGGAAGGAGGCGUGGAGAGAAUAAAACCACAGCUUCUCUCAUUGAGACAUCUACUGUUCAGCACACUUUUGUCUCCAUCCUAGAACCUCAAGAUAAAGAGAAUCGUAAGGCAACCAAGCAGAGAAAUUCAAUCCUGAAAGAAUUUGAUGAUGUGCUAUAUAGUGUUUUCACUGAUGAAUGA